rnacentral:rRNA from 1 species
ACUCAAAGGAAUUGACGGGGGCCCGCACAAGCGGUGGAGCAUGUGGAUUAAUUCGAAGCAACGCGAAGAACCUUACCAAGGCUUGACAUCCCGAUGUAAGCUGUAGAAAUACAGCCCCUCUUCGGAGUAUCGGUGACAGGUGGUGCACGGUUGUCGUCAGCUCGUGUCGUGAGAUGUUGGGUUAAGUCCCGCAACGAGCGCAACCCUUAUCUUUAGUAGCCAGCGGAUAAUGCCGGGCACUCUGGAGAGACUGCCGUGGAUAACACGGAGGAAGGUGGGGACGACGUCAAAUCAUCAUGCCCUUUAUGCCUUGGGCUUCACACGUGCUACAAUGGCUCUUACAAAGUGACGCAAACCGGUAACGGCAAGCAAAGCACAAAAAAAGAGUCUCAGUUCGGAUUGGGGUCUGCAAUUCGACCCUAUGAAGUCGGAAUCGCUAGUAAUCGCGAAUCAGCACGUCGCGGUGAAUACGUUCCCGGGCCUUGUACACACCGCCCGU